rnacentral:miRNA from 1 species
ACUCUCCCUCAAAGCUUCCAGAAGAAUUAACUCUGCCUACAUCUGGAGGUGGGGUUUCUGGACUCAGGCACGUGG